CAAUAGCGUAUAUUUAAGUUGUUGCAGUUAAAAAGCUCGUAGUUGGAUUUCUGCUGAUCGCUGUCGGUCUGCCGUCAGGUGUGUACUGGCAGUGUUUGGCAUCUAUUCGAGAUUGGGUGUCCACUUGAUUGUGUGCACUCGAUGUCGGAGCUAAUACUUUGAGAAAAUUAGAGUGUUCCACGCAGGCGCGUGCCUUGAAUACUGCAGCAUGGGAUAUUGGAAGGCCGAUUGAGCUUUCUUGUUGGUUCUCGGUUUGAUCGGAAUGAUUAAUAGGGAUAGUUGGGGGCAUUCGUAUUCAACUGUCAGAGGUGAAAUUCUUGGACUUGUUGAAGACGGACUACUGCGAAAGCAUCUGCCAUGGAUGUUCUCAUUGA
rnacentral:rRNA from 1 species